rnacentral:rRNA from 1 species
UAAAAAAAGGUAAGCUACUAAGAGCGAAUGGUGGAUGCCUUGACUGGUAAAGGCGAUGAAGGACGUACUAGACUGCGAUAAGCUACGGGGAGCUGUCAAGAAGCUUUGAUCCGUAGAUUUCCGAAUGGGGCAACCCAAUGUAUAGAGAUAUACAUUACCUAUAUAGGAGCGAACGAGGGGAAUUGAAACAUCUUAGUACCCUCAGGAAAAGAAAUCAAUAGAGAUUGCGUCAGUAGCGGCGAGCGAAAGCGCAAGAGGGCAAACCCAGUGCUUGCACUGGGGGUUGUAGGACUGCAAUGUGCAAGAGCUGAGUUUAGCAGAACAUUCUGGAAAGUAUAGCCAUAGAGGGUGAUAGUCCCGUAUGCGAAAAACAAAGCUUAGCUAGCAGUAUCCUGAGUAGGGCGGGACACGAGGAAUCCUGUCUGAAUCCGGGUCGACCACGAUCCAACCCUAAAUACUAAUACCAGAUCGAUAGUGCACAAGUACCGUGAGGGAAAGGUGAAAAGAACUGAGGUGAUCAGAGUGAAAUAGAACCUGAAACCAUUUGCUUACAAUCAUUCAGAGCACUAUGUAGCAAUACAGUGUGAUGGACUGCCUUUUGCAUAAUGAGCCUGCGAGUUGUGGUGUCUGGCAAGGUUAAGCAAACGCGAAGCCGUAGCGAAAGCGAGUCUGAAUAGGGCGCUUAGUCAGAUGCUGCAGACCCGAAACGAAGUGAUCUAUCCAUGAGCAAGUUGAAGCUAGUGUAAGAACUAGUGGAGGACUGAACCCAUAGGCGUUGAAAAGCCCCGGGAUGACUUGUGGAUAGGGGUGAAAGGCCAAUCAAACUUCGUGAUAGCUGGUUCUCUCCGAAAUAUAUUUAGGUAUAGCGUUGUGUCGUAAUAUAAGGGGGUAGAGCACUGAAUGGGCUAGGGCAUACACCAAUGUACCAAACCCUAUCAAACUCCGAAUACCUUAUAUGUAAUCACAGCAGUCAGGCGGCGAGUGAUAAAAUCCGUCGUCAAGAGGGAAACAACCCAGACUACCAGCUAAGGUCCCUAAAUCUUACUUAAGUGGAAAACGAUGUGAAGUUACUUAAACAACCAGGAGGUUGGCUUAGAAGCAGCCAUCCUUUAAAGAAAGCGUAAUAGCUCACUGGUCUAGUGAUUUUGCGCGGAAAAUAUAACGGGGCUAAAGUAAGUACCGAAGCUGUAGACUUGCACACAACUUAGAUUAUUUAAGUUUAGAAUAUGAGAAACUAAGUUAUAUGUUUAGUUAUAUUUUUACUGAUUUUUAUAGAGUAAAGAUAGAAAUAAAACUUAGUAAAAUCAGUAAAAAUAUUCUUAGGCUAAAGUUAAGUAGUUUAAGUUGUGUGCAAGUGGUAGGAGAGCGUUCUAUUUGCGUCGAAGGUAUACCGGUAAGGAGUGCUGGAGCGAAUAGAAGUGAGCAUGCAGGCAUGAGUAGCGAUAAUUAAUGUGAGAAUCAUUAACGCCGUAAACCCAAGGUUUCCUACGCGAUGCUCGUCAUCGUAGGGUUAGUCGGGUCCUAAGUCGAGUCCGAAAGGGGUAGACGAUGGCAAAUUGGUUAAUAUUCCAAUACCAACAUUAGUGUGCGAUGGAAGGACG